rnacentral:rRNA from 1 species
UACAGAGGGUGCAAGCGUUGUUCGGAAUUAUUGGGCGUAAAGCGCGUGUAGGCGGCUUUGCAAGUCGGGUGUGAAAGCCCUCAGCUCAACUGAGGAAGUGCGCCCGAAACUGCAGAGCUUGAGUACCGGAGAGGAUGGCGGAAUUCCCCAAGUAGAGGUGAAAUUCGUAGAUAUGGGGAGGAACACCGGUGGCGAAGGCAGUGUUCUGGGCCAGUACUGACGCUGAGGAGCGAAAGCGUGGGGAGCAAACAGG